UGGGGAAUAUUGGACAAUGGGCGAAAGCCUGAUCCAGCCAUGCCGCGGGUGUGAAGAAGGUCUUCGGAUUGUAAAGCACUUUAAGUUGGGAGGAAGGGCAUUAACCUAAUACGUUAGUGUUUUGACGUUACCGACAGAAUAAGCACCGGCUAACUCUGUGCCAGCAGCCGCGGUAAUACAGAGGGUGCAAGCGUUAAUCGGAAUUACUGGGCGUAAAGCGCGCGUAGGUGGUUUGUUAAGUUGGAUGUGAGAUCCCCGGGCUCAACCUGGGAACUGCAUUCAAAACUGACUGACUAGAGUAUGGUAGAGGGUGGUGGAAUUUCCUGUGUAGCGGUGAAAUGCGUAGAUAUAGGAAGGAACACCAGUGGCGAAGGCGACCACCUGGACUAAUACUGACACUGAGGUGCGAAAGCGUGGGGAGCAAACA
rnacentral:rRNA from 1 species